AUCCCAAGAUCUCACCCAUGCCCCCUCCCCCAGGAUGCAGCCCACUGGCCUCCAAAUGUCAAGGUCCCACCACAUUACAUCUGCCAGAAGAUUCUGCGAUGACCUGACUCCAGGAGCCACGGGAGAAAGAAGCCCACUGCCAUGUCACUGCACCAGAGCCCCACCCACCUGUAUCUACCUGUGACUCUUCUGCUGGGAAAUUGAAGCUGAGAGGGGUGAAGCAACGUGCCCAAGCUCACAUGGAGUGCACAUGGCAGAGCCAGGACUUGAACUCAUCCACCCAAUUCCAGGCCAAGGAUCUCUUUGUAUCUCAUUGUUCUCUUGGCCAAUGGGACUCAUCUAGCAAGGGCCAAGUAUGGAGAAAUGAGUAAGAGGAAAUGAAGACCCAAGGCUCAGCACUGAGGUUGUGCAGGAAAGGGAAGGAGGAGGCUCAGCUCCAGGGGUGACAGGCCCGGAACAAGUGGGCUGGAGGUGCAGCUGCAGACAGGACACUACUGGAAGAUUGAAGCAGAGGGGCAGCCUGAGGGAAAAUAUUUCAGUCCUGUCACACAGCCCAUGUCCCAGAUGGGGUCACCAGGAGAGCCAAUGCAGAGCAAAGGCACAAAGUGAUGCUCAUGCUAAGUAGCAAUCAAGGAACCACAAAGUAACACAAGAGCCGCCGUUCCUGGGUCUUCCUGUGCAGUUCCUGCUGCUGGGAUGUGUUCCAGGGCAGUGAUGGAAUCCUCCCCACCAAGCCAGCCUCCACCAGCUGGGUGGAUUAUUUUUCUUCUCAUGAGCACCAUUUAACAACAUCGAGUCCCCGUCUGGGGUGGUUACAUCAAGAAAGAAUGGGUCUUCAAAGG